rnacentral:rRNA from 2 species
UCGAGUCUUUGAACGCAAGUUGCGCCCGAGGCCUAUCGGCCAAGGGCACGUUCGCCUGGGCGUCAAGCGUAGCACCGCUCCUUGCUCUACCUCCAUCUCAUCUCUGGUUGUGUUGGAAAUGGCUCGGAUGCGUAGAGUGGCUCCUCGUGCCUACGGUGCG